rnacentral:tRNA from 1 species
CGGGGUGUAGCUCAGUUUGGUAGAGCGCUUGGUUCGGGACCAAGAGGCCGAGUGUUCAAGUCACUUCACUCCGACCA